GGAGUUAGCCGGUGCUUCUUCUGUGAGUGAUGUCCUUCCUGCCGGCUAUUAACCCGCAGGCCUUCUUCCUCACUGAAAGUGCUUUACAACCCGAAGGCCUUCUUCACACACGCGGCAUGGCUGGAUCAGGGUUGCCCCCAUUGUCCAAUAUUCCCCACUGCUGCCUCCCGUAGGAGUCUGGGCCGUGUCUCAGUCCCAGUGUGGCUGAUCAUCCUCUCAGACCAGCUACGGAUCGUCGCCUUGGUGAGCCGUUACCUCACCAACCAGCUAAUCCGACAUAGGCUCAUCCGAUAGCGCGAGGCCCGAAGGUCCCCCGCUUUCCCCCGUAGGGCGUAUGCGGUAUUAGCCUGGGUUUCCCCAGGUUAUCCCCCACUACCGGGCAGAUUCCUAUGCAUUACUCACCCGUCCGCCGCUCGCCACCAGGGAGCAAGCUCCCCGUGCUGCCGCUCGACUUGCAUGUGUUAGGUCGUCGCCGCCACGCGUCAUCUGAGCCACAAUACAACUACUCGA
rnacentral:rRNA from 1 species